GAAUGCUGACAUAAGUAACGAUAAAGCGGGUGAAAAGCCCGCUCGCCGGAAGACCAAGGGUUCCUGUCCAACGUUAAUCGGGGCAGGGUGAGUCGACCCCUAAGGCGAGGCCGAAAGGCGUAGUCGAUGGGAAACAGGUUAAUAUUCCUGUACUUGGUGUUACUGCGAAGGGGGGACGGAGAAGGCUAUGUUGGCCGGGCGACGGUUGUCCCGGUUUAAGCGUGUAGGCUGGUUUUCCAGGCAAAUCCGGAAAACCAAGGCUGAGGCGUGAUGACGAGGCACUACGGUGCUGAAGUGACAAAUGCCCUGCUUCCAGGAAAAGCCUCUAAGCAUCAGGUAACAUCAAAUCGUACCCCAAACCGACACAGGUGGUCAGGUAGAGAAUACCAAGGCGCUUGAGAGAACUCGGGUGAAGGAACUAGGCAAAAUGGUGCCGUAACUUCGGGAGAAGGCACGCUGAUAUGUAGGUGAAGCGACUUGCUCGUGGAGCUGAAAUCAGUCGAAGAUACCAGCUGGCUGCAACUGUUUAUUAAAAACACAGCACUGUGCAAACACGAAAGUGGACGUAUACGGUGUGACGCCUGCCCGGUGCCGGAAGGUUAAUUGAUGGGGUUAGCGGUAACGCGAAGCUCUUGAUCGAAGCCCCGGUAAACGGCGGCCGUAACUAUAACGGUCCUAAGGUAGCGAAAUUCCUUGUCGGGUAAGUUCCGACCUGCACGAAUGGCGUAAUGAUGGCCAGGCUGUCUCCACCCGAGACUCAGUGAAAUUGAACUCGCUGUGAAGAUGCAGUGUACCCGCGGCAAGACGGAAAGACCCCGUGAACCUUUACUAUAGCUUGACACUGAACAUUGAGCCUUGAUGUGUAGGAUAGGUGGGAGGCUUUGAAGUGUGGACGCCAGUCUGCAUGGAGCCGACCUUGAAAUACCACCCUUUAAUGUUUGAUGUUCUAACGUUGGCCCCUAAUCGGGGUUGCGGACAGUGUCUGGUGGGUAGUUUGACUGGGGCGGUCUCCUCCUAAAGAGUAACGGAGGAGCACGAAGGUUGGCUAAUCCUGGUCGGACAUCAGGAGGUUAGUGCAAUGGCAUAAGCCAGCUUGACUGCGAGCGUGACGGCGCGAGCAGGUGCGAAAGCAGGUCAUAGUGAUCCGGUGGUUCUGAAUGGAAGGGCCAUCGCUCAACGGAUAAAAGGUACUCCGGGGAUAACAGGCUGAUACCGCCCAAGAGUUCAUAUCGACGGCGGUGUUUGGCACCUCGAUGUCGGCUCAUCACAUCCUGGGGCUGAAGUAGGUCCCAAGGGUAUGGCUGUUCGCCAUUUAAAGUGGUACGCGAGCUGGGUUUAGAACGUCGUGAGACAGUUCGGUCCCUAUCUGCCGUGGGCGCUGGAGAACUGAGGGGGGCUGCUCCUAGUACGAGAGGACCGGAGUGGACGCAUCACUGGUGUUCGGGUUGUCAUGCCAAUGGCACUGCCCGGUAGCUAAAUGCGGAAGAGAUAAGUGCUGAAAGCAUCUAAGCACGAAACUUGCCCCGAGAUGAGUUCUCCCUGACUCCUUGAGGGUCCUGAAGGAACGUUGAAGACGACGACGUUGAUAGGCCGGGUGUGUAAGCGCAGCGAUGCGUUGAGCUAACCGGUACUAAUGAACCGUGAGGCUUAACCUUACAACGCCGAAG
rnacentral:rRNA from 1 species